AUUUAAAUAGUUUAUUAAAAAUAUUGAUUUGUGGAGUCAAAGAUAUAGCCUAUAUUUUAAAUA
rnacentral:tRNA from 1 species